AUAAAAGCAGGCUGCUGGAGCCAGCAGUGGCAUCUCCUCGUACUCUGUCCUGGUGUGGAAUCUUUGUUCUUCACUUCUUUGGGUGCAUGCUGCUUUUGUGAGCUGUAACACCGCGAAGGUCUGCAGCUUCACUCUUGAAGCCAGUGAGACCAGGAACCCACCAGAAGGAAGAAAGUCCAAACGCAUCCGAACUUCAGAAGGAACAGACUCUAGACACGCAGCCUUUAAGACCUGUGACACUCACGGCGAGGGUCCGCGGCUUUAUUCUUGAAGUUAGUGAGACCAAGAACCUACCAAUUCCGGACACACUGGAUUUACAGGUUGGCAAAAGGUAGACAGCUUUGGCCUUGGCUCAGCUGGGAGAACAGAUGGGCAGGAAUUCAGCACAACUCCUAAAUCAGCCAAGCGGCAGACUGCCUCCUUUCCUUCUCUGGGUCAGCCAAGGCUACAGUUUCCACCUGGUCACAGCCAGCUGCAGAGGCCCAAGACUGAAGCCCAUGACAGCUCGGCGAGGAGCACCUAGAAAUGUGCCAUCCCACACCUGACUGUGAGGGGCCAUCAGGAGAACAAGCAAGGGCAGGUGUUUCUUCCAGCAGUGAGGGGACAUCUGUACUGAGCUGCCCAGCAGGAGAAAGAUUAGAUUUCUCUGUGCAAAGCAAACAGCUCCUUAUGGCAGUCACAUACCUGUCCUCACUCCUUUUGAGCAUAGGGCUAUACUGAGAAAACCAGUUUGUUUGAAAAAGGCCUGGAGCUCUGUUCUUUCUCAUCCCCUUUAUCUACCAUAGGAAUAAUGGCAACGUGACCAGAGGUGUAAGGGGAGCCUAGGACCUACUCUGAAAUACAUGUAAUGCAAGUGGAGGCGGCAACUCCCCACAUCUGAGGAGGGGAAGGUCCUCACAGAAGGGAAACAGGAACAAAGCAAAAGUAGACAGGAACAUGUGUUUAGCUUUAGACACAGGACAUAAAAUGCAGUUUUGCUGCAGUUCUGGUGAGAGCACGUGGCAUAGGAGGAAGACGGCUGAACGUCGCGGGGUUUGCUUGGGAGGAAAUGACCAAGCCCAGAGGGAAAGAAGCGUUCCCUCUUUCCCCUUCCAAUGCUUACAUCAAUUUUGGAUUAUCUGUGUAUUUACUCCCCAUUCAUUGACUCUAAUUAAAAGUUGACUGAAAUCUGUUUAGAAUUCUAUGUAGCCAGGCUUUCAGAAAAGCUUUUUAAAAUAAGUGUGGAGUAGAAAUUUGGUAAUGAAGAUCACUACCAUGCUCCUUUGAGAGAAAAGAUGGGAAAGGGACUGGAAGGAGAGGAUGGCUAGACGGAGGGAGGGCUAGCUGUGGUGGCCCCACGCUCCUCAGAAGCCGUGCCCUGAAAAGAGCCACUUCUGAGCAUUCCACUGACAUUACUUUUCCACGAAGCUUUGGGCACCUCAGGCCCCUGCAGUUGGACAAUGAGGCUCUUCAGACAACUAUAAAGAACUUCCAACUCUUGCUCCCUCACCCCAGGCCUUCUGUAAUCUUGAGACCCUAGAUCUGCUCACGUGGGCUUGGGAAGGCUGGUCAGAUGGCCAAUAGGGUCUGGCCCCACCUGCCUUUCCCUUUCCUCCUUCAGCAGCAUAGCUCCUUGCCCUCACGAGGGCACAAUCAGGGCUGAGAGCCUUCAUGAGCCCCCCUUGGUCCUCUGGGGUAUGAGGAGUCAGCAGGGACACAUUCCCCAUCUCCACUAGGACCAUCUGUGCUCAAUUAUAAGCCCUUUGGAAGCAAGCAGAGGGCUGUUUAGCUGCUGCUGGUUCUCUAUGAUUAGCUUGUUCUUGUUUUUUGAACACUGCACGUGGUGCAGCCAGCUGUGAGAAGCAUCCACGAUUCAAAGCUUUUUCUCUCUCAAAAAGAAAAGUGCUAAGCUGGUUGUUUUAACUAUGGGAAAAGAAAAAACAUUUAAAAGUGUUACUUUCUGGGUAAGUUCCUUUCCAUACCUUUUAAUUCCACUGUUUCCAGGAUUGGGACCAUCCUUUGUCUAUAUUUCAGACCCUAUAUAGGCACUUGCUUGCUGCAAAUGAGCCUUGUUAACAUCAAGGUAGUGUGUAAUUCCAGCUCACGCAUCCGUAUUUCAGUAGCCUCUCUUCUCGCUUAUUGUGUGUUGAGAGAGACCAGAUCUUCAAGGCAUCCUUUUAAUAAAACCAUUGCAGAGACUCCACUCUGCAAUGCACUAAGGAGCCAGGGCUAACUGCAGAGGCUUACCUUCUUUUCAGGUGCUGAGCCAGGAACAAAGCAACACUACUUUGUUCACACUUGAAAUCCUCAGUGUUCUCUGCAGGCAAGAAGCAGUUGGCUGGGUUUGGCUCUAUGCCAGCAUGAAAAUCACUAGGGGUGCUUAAUAAAAUGGUUAUUUCUGGGGCUACAUCAUGGAUUUGAAAUCCAGACUCACAUGUGAGUGGAGAGCCAGAGAAGCUGGAGAUUUGGGAGUCGUGUGAAUAGUAAUAAUGGAAACCACGAGAUGAACUACAAUUCACAGGCAAAAGAAUAUGGCAGUAGAAAAAGAUGUAGGUAAUUGGCCAGGCGUGGCGGCUCAGGCCUGUAACCCCAGCACUUUGGGAGGCUGAGGUGGGCAGAUCACUUGAGGUCAAGAGUUUGAGACCAGCCUGGCCAACAUGGCAAAACCCCAUCUCUACUAAAAAUAUAAAAAAUUAGCUGUGCAUGGUGGCAUGCGCCUGUAGUCCCAGCUACUUGGGAGGCGGAGGCACGAGAAUCGCUUGAACUCGGGAGGCACAGAUUGCAGUAAGCCAAGAUCAUGCCAGUGUACUCCAGCCUGGGCAACAGAGCGAGACUCCAUCUCAAAAAAAAAAAAAAAGAUCCAGGUAAUUACAGUCCCUUCGCCUCACAUUUCUGAAUGAGGUAAAUAAACUCAUUUCUUAUUCUCAUAAUAUACAGGAUCUAUGAUAAACAGCAGCACAAUUACGCCAGUAACCACAGGGCAUGCCUAUAGAUACAAAAAGUUCUUUGUAGCAUGGGUUCGGUCGGCUUUUAUCUAACUAAAUUUUCUGAAAUUUAGAAAACCAUCUAAAUAUGGAAUAAAUGGUUUUACUUACCAUGCUGAAGAAAAAGAAGUAAAAAUGUCUAAAUAUUUAGCAGAAAUAUUACUUCAAAACUGAUUUUACUUUUUGUUUUUGCUAAGUAAUUUUAAGCGUGCCCAAGGAUAAAAAAAAUCUGUACCAAUCAUGGGUUAUUACAUUGAGGAUAAUGGGAGCCACUGUCUGAGAAAGGAGUUAUCAAUAUGGAAAGAAAAUGAGAAGCAAUCCUGUGUUGUUGGACUAGAAUUGGAGGUACUGGUGUGAAUUCAUGGUUUUCAAUAUAUGGAUAUGAAAGUAAAUUUAGAUAUUAAUGUGAAGCAAAUUUAGACAACGUGUGUACAUAUGUGUGUGCAUACAUGUACACAAUUCCCAAGUUCUGACCACUGAGCCUGGGAUGAGUGGCACCACAAUAGUAAGCACUCCAAUCUAACCUUUUAUAAUAAUUUCCUACUAAAAGCAAGCAGGGCUGGAGUAGAGAAACCUGGAAUGUCUCAUUGUCAAAAAAUACAGCAGUGCCCAAGUAGAUGGGGGACAUGUCAAAAGUACACAGGGGCUAACCUGAAGGUGCUCCCAGCGGCCAUAUUUGAGACCAGUUACGCAUCUAAAGAAAUAAUGAUGUAACAAACCGUAACCCAUUGAAUAAAAGAAGAAACUACGAGUCCAUACUAGGAUGAGUUGAAUAUCUCUUAUCUGAAAUGCUUGGGACCAGACGUGUUUCGAAUUUUUUUGGAUUCUGAAAUAUUCACAUUAUCCUUAUUGGUGGGGCAUUCCUAAUCACAAACAAUACCCUUAAUUGUUUACAGGAAAUAUAUACUAAAGUAUUUAAAGGUGAUAGGCCCACUGGGUUGGCAACUCACUCUCAAAUGGUUCAGGUUCUGUACUUGGAAUUUUUCUGUUUGAGAAUGUUUCAAAAUAAAAAUGU
rnacentral:lncRNA from 10 species